AGUGAACGCUGGCGGUAGGCCUAACACAUGCAAGUCGAACGGCAGCACAGUAAGAGCUUGCUCUUACGGGUGGCGAGUGGCGGACGGGUGAGGAAUACAUCGGAAUCUACUUUUUCGUGGGGGAUAACGUAGGGAAACUUACGCUAAUACCGCAUACGACCUACGGGUGAAAGCAGGGGAUCUUCGGACCUUGCGCGAUUGAAUGAGCCGAUGUCGGAUUAGCUAGUUGGCGGGGUAAAGGCCCACCAAGGCGACGAUCCGUAGCUGGUCUGAGAGGAUGAUCGGCCACCCUGGAACUGAGCCACGGUCCAGCCUCCUACGGGAGGCAGCAGUGGGGAAUAUUGGACAAUGGGCGCAAGCCUGAUCCAGCCAUCCCGCGUGGGUGAAGAAGGCCUUCGGGUUGUAAAGCCCUUUUGUUGGGAAAGAAAAGCAGCAGGUUAAUACCCCGCUGUUCUGACGGUACCCAAAGAAUAAGCACCGGCUAACUUCGUG
rnacentral:rRNA from 1 species